rnacentral:rRNA from 1 species
UACGUAGGAGGCGAGCGUUGUCCGGAAUUACUGGGCGUAAAGCGCGCGUAGGCGGCCUUUUGCGUAGGCGGUGAAAGCCCCCGGCUCACCCGGGGGAGGUCCGUCUAAACGGGGAGACUCGAGGGCGGUAGGGGUUGGCGGAACGCCCGGAGUAGCGGUGAAAUGCGUUGAGAUCGGGCAGAACACCAGUGGCGAAGGCGGCCGACUGGGCCGUCCCUGACGCUGAGGCGCGAAAGCCAGGGGAGCGAACGGA